rnacentral:lncRNA from 10 species
GUAAGACAGAGUAUUUGAAUUGCCCUAAUUUUCAGUAUGGAAAAUUAGUACUCUUGAAUGGAAAUUCUUCAGUACCUUCAGUACUCUUGAAUGGAAAUUGUCGUACUUUUUCUUAACUUUCAUUUUAGGUUCAGGGGUAAGUGUGCAGGUUUGUUAUAUAGGUAACCUGCAUGUCACCGGGGUUUGGGGUACGGAUUAUUUCACCUGGUGAUCAGUAUAGUACCCAGGAGGUAGUUUUUCCAUCCUCUCCCUCCUCCUCACUCCCUCCACCCUCAACCAGGCCCUGCUGACUUCUUGUUCCUUCUUUGUGUCCAUGUGUGCUCAGCGUUUGGCUCCCACUCAUAAGUGAGAGCCAUGUUUGGUUUUCUUGCCUGUGUCAGUUCCCUUAGGGUCAUGGCCUCCAGCUCCAGCCAUGUUACUUCAGAGGACAUGAUCUUGUUCUUAAUAUCCUGUGGUAUAUAUGUACCACAUUUUCUUUAUCCAGUUGACCGUUGAUGGGCAUACAGCACUUUUACAAUUAGAAAAAAAUUAAAAGCAUAAAAACUAUGAUAAGCAGCCGGGUGCGGUGGCUCAUGCCUGUAAUCCCAGCACUGUGGGAGGCCGAGGCAGGCG